rnacentral:snoRNA from 1 species
CCCCUCUCAGGGUCACACCUGGAGAAUUUCCAGCACUCUACCAGCUAGACUACAGGAGGGAGAGUCAGGCAGAGGCCUACCCAUUCCAUUCUUAGCUUGGCCAGUGGCUAGCGAGUGGAAGGCCAUCUGCUACAGAU